GAUGAACGCUGGCGGCGUGCCUAAUACAUGCAAGUCGAGCGAAGCGGGGACGGGUGAGUAACACGUGGAUAACCUCCCAUCUGAGGGGGAUAACACUUGGAAACAGGUGCUAAACCGCCUACUGAUGGAUGGAUCCGCGCUGCAUUAGCUAGUUGGUAGGGUAACGGCUCACCAAGGCAACGAUGCAUAGCCGACCUGAGAGGGUGAUCGGCCACACUGGAACUGAGACACGGUCCAGACUCCUACGGGAGGCAGCAGUAGGGAAUCUUCCGCAAUGGGCGAAAGCCUGACGGAGCAAUGCCGCGUGAGUGAUGAAGGUCUUCGGAUCGUAAAACUCUGUUAGUGGGGAAGCGUUACCUAAUCAGAAAGCAACGGCUAACUACGUGCCAGCAGCCGCGGUAAUUC
rnacentral:rRNA from 1 species